UACGAAGGGGGCAAUCGUUGCUCGGAAUGACUGGGCGUAAAGGGCGCGUAGGCGGACUGCACAGUCAGGCGUGAAAUUCCUGGGCUUAACCUGGGGACUGCGUCUGAGACGUGUGAUCUAGAGUGAGGAAGAGGGUUGUGGAAUUUCAAGUGUAGAGGUGAAAUUCGUAGAUAUUGGAAAGAACACCGGUGGCGAAGGCGGCGACCUGGUUCAUUACUGACGCUGAGGCGCGAAAGUGUGGGGAGCAAACAGG
rnacentral:rRNA from 1 species